UGAAUUUAUUAGUCUUUAGGAGCAUGAGUAUGCAAACGCCGAUGCAAUUAAAAAAACAUUGCCUAUCAAAUUUUCAUAUCCAGCCACCAAUUUCCGUUAUCCCGCUACAAAUUUUUAUUAUCCCGCCAUUUGACCAGGUAUAUGAUUUCAAUUCGAAGCUACUCUGUGAAUGCGAGCACUCUAGAGAGUUAAAACCAUUGAUCGAAAACCCUAAUACCCUAAAACGACGAGAAUUCGACGCUUUAUCGCCGCUAUUUUCACUAGUGCCACAACAAUCGAUGCUCUUGAGCAUAUGGUGAAAGAACCCGGACCAGUGUAGCAUCCAACUUCCAGUUUCUGUGGUGUGUUUUCUAUUAUGCUCUACAUUUAUUAGUGGAUAUUUUGGACAAUGCUCUUAAUAAACAGGUGUUGAUAAGCAUGAUGGGAAUUUAUCAACAAGAAGCAUACGAGUCUUCAGUUGCAUAUCUAGUUUGAUUGGCUUGUAUACAUUGAGGUGUUUCAAGUGAGCAACAUGUAAAAAUUGAUGCUUUUAGGACGUGGGCUUUGGCUAUGAGAUUGGUGUCAACAUCUUUUAAGUAGGUUUCAUAUGUGAACAUCUCGUUAAGGUUGGAUCCUACUUUUAGUGGUGAUGUAAAUAUGCAGAAACUGAUUGGAAUUUAAUAAAAAGAGUUCUUUGUUUUGUA